GUCAGCGGUUGCAAUCACCGGCAACUGUUCAGUCCGCCAUAUUGUUUUAGAUCUACGAAUUGUCGAAGCAAAAGACCACAAUGAGUAGCAUUUUGUGGAGGAAUUUGCGAGUUCCGUUGAUCAGGCGCAUGGCACGUCAAGCUAGUGAUCAUCCUACAGCAGAAGAACUUGGCCUAAAGGGAUGGCAAGUCUACUUUAAUAGCUUCACUAUUGAGGGAAGACGCAAUUUGGUAUUUUUAGUCUAUGGAACUUUGUUUGGAAUCUAUGGCCUUCGCAAGCUGACGAAAAAGGACAAGAAAGAGACUCCUGAAAAGACUCCUGAAAAGACUCCUUAAAAAUAACUGCAAUAGGAAAAUUCCUCAUUUGACUUCUGUAAUCUGUCAUGUUUGGGUUUUCGUUUUUGUGGAGGGACGACAGGUCAAAUGAUCCAGUGAUGUAAAGUUUGUCAAAUGCAUUUGAUAUGCUAAUAAAUCAGAUUGACAUUUUU